UACGAAGGGUGCAAGCGUUACUCGGAAUUACUGGGCGUAAGGGGUGCGUAGGUGGUCGUUUAAGUCCGUUGUGAAAUCCCUGGGCUCAACCUGGGAAUGGCAGUGGAUACUGGACGGCUAGAAUGCGGUAGAGGGUAGUGGAAUUCCCGGUGUAGCAGUGAAAUGCGUAGAGAUCGGGAGGAACACCAGUGGCGAAGGCGGCUACCUGGACCAGCAUUGACACUCAAGCACGAAAGCGUGGGGAGCAAACAGG
rnacentral:rRNA from 1 species